GGACAAUGAUACGUGCUCUGUUCUAGGAUAUAGGAGACUUAAGGUCUGUUUCUAUGUGCUGUGCAUCCUUGGAGAAAUGAAAUAAAAGCAUAUUUAUAAGCUGAGUUUUAUUUUAAUCUUUCCAACUGCCUCAUGACAAACAAGCCUACAUGACAAACAAGUACAUUAUAAACACUAAAAAGGCAUAUUAUAUUAUCUCUGACAAAAUACACAAGAUGACAUUAUGGAAAGUAACUAAGGAAGGUAAGAGGUAGACAAUAUGAUUUCUAUUUUCCUGUGUGGAAACUGAGUCUCAGAGAAAUUAAUUGACUUGCCGAGGCUCACUAGCUGGAUGAGCAGAGGCUUUGAAUCCAUGUCUCUCACACUCUGCAGCCCAAGCUCUUACCUACUACUUUGGGUUCUAGUACAGCGGUUUCAGCCGAUCUGGGGUCAAAUCGUAGCUCUGCCACUUACCAGCUAUGCAGACUAGGAGUCUGAAGCACUCUGCAAGAAGUCCUUCCACUCUGCUGGCGAAAGUAGAGAGGAAAUGAGAAUGGGCCUAGCUGAGCUCACCUUCCUCUCUCCCCACCAAGGCAUCAGGGAUGUGAGUGAAGCCAUCCUGGACCCUUCAGGCCAGAUCAGCUGUCUGGCGAAUAUCAACAAGUGACUUGAAUGAAUGACAGUGUCAUGUUGAGCAGAAGAACAGUGUCAUGUUGAGCAGUGCCACGUUGAGCAGAACUGCCCAGUUGGUCUCUGCCUGAAUUCCUGACCCACAAGAUUAUGAUCUAUAAUAAAAUGCUUAUUGUUUCAAUCCAUCAAAUAUUUGUUCUAAACAAUAGAAAACCAGAACCACAGCCCUCAAUAAAUCUUUCUUGAACUGAACUGACCAAAAUGCCCCAGCAUUUGGGAAUUUUUGGUUAUGACAUUUGUACAGAUAUUCUCCCUCCUCAGCU
rnacentral:lncRNA from 1 species